rnacentral:snRNA from 1 species
UUGCUCACUUUAGCAGCACAUGUACUAAAACUGAAACAAUAGAGAAGAUUAGCACAGUCCCUGAGCAAGGA